GCAAAAAAGACGGUGCAGCUCAAAAGAAAAACCUGCCAAUGAGUAANNNNNNNNNNNNNCUUCCAAGGUUACAUACUUAGUUUCUUACAUAGCCGACCCAGCCACCCAUGUCAACUGAACCAAGAACAAGAAGCCUACCCGUUUUCUUUUUUUCUUCCCUUUUAUCACAAACCUUAUCUGACACACUACCUAUUUCGCUGUCCUCAUUUAGCUUAUAAUAAAAUACAUCUAACCAAACACGUUCACAUCUAAUUCUUCUUGUCGUUUUAUUCAUAAUCCUUGGCCAAUUUCAAUUCCAACUUGUCCUCCACUUCACCCGUCCCCACAACUACCUUCAGACAUCAUUAUUCCAGAUAUAUUAAUGUCUGUUAAUACUUAAUAUCUAUGUGACUGACAUAGUGACNNNNNNNNNNNNNUUCUCUUAUUCUGAUAUGGAUAUACGGAAAAUCUGAUAUAAUUCAAUUUAGUUUUCAGUUUAUUAAAAUGUUCCGUUUAAAAAUAUCUAUUCCUCUGUAUCAAUCCAGAAUCCAGAACACUUAAACAAAGAAGGAAAUUACCAAUUAGCGUUAGAAUGAAAAACUGAAAAUAAAUGUGUAAGCCACGUUUUAAGUCAUGUCUAAUCAUCUAGUCCAGUAUAGCUGUAUGGAAUUACCAAAGACGAAGAAAUCACACUACUCACGUUGCCAUAGACACGAGGGCAGUUUCGUAAAUAAAUCCGGAACCUGGUCAAUUCACUUUCCUACUCAACGGAAUCACACUCUCCUCACCACCACCACCUUUGCAUCUUCUCCCAAACCGCCAGAGAAACAGCCACAGAGCCACACACACUUUCUCUGCCUCGCGAUUCUCGCUUCCCCCGCCUAUUUAGUUUUCAGUUUUUCGAGACAAAAACGGUUUCAGACACAACAGACUGUAACAAACUAGAGGGAGAGAAUCUAGAGAGAGAAGGGAGCACCGGGAAUCGUGCUUACUGCUUACAUUACAUCACAGUGAUGCCGAAUCCCGAGGA
rnacentral:lncRNA from 1 species